rnacentral:rRNA from 1 species
GAUGAACGCUGGCGGCGUGCCUAAUACAUGCAAGUCGAGCGAAGCGGGGACGGGUGAGUAACACGUGGAUAACCUCCUAUAAGACUGGGAUAACUUCGGGAAAACGGAGCUAAACCGGAAACUUAUAGAUGGAGCCGCGGUGCAUUAGCUAGUUGGUAGGGUAACGGCUUACAAAGGCAACGAUGCAUAGCCGACCUGAGAGGGUGAUCGGCCACACUGGAACUGAGACACGGUCCAGACUCCUACGGGAGGCAGCAGUAGGGAAGCUUCCGCAAUGGGCGAAAGCCUGACGCAGCAACGCCGCGUGAGUGAGGAAGGUCUUCGGAUCGUAAAACUCUGUCAUUAGGGAAGCGGUACCUAAUCAGAAAGCCCCGGCUAACUCCGUGCCAGCAGCCGCGGUAAUAC